AUGAACGCUGGCGGCGCGCCUAAUACAUGCAAGUCGAGCGAGAAGACGUAGCAAUACGUUUGUAAAGCGGCGAACGGGUGAGGAAUACAUGGGUAACCUACCCUAGAGUGGGGAAUAACUAGCCGAAAGGUUAGCUAAUACCGCGUACGCUCCUUGGACUUCGGUUCAGGGAGGAAAGCGAUGCCGAGGGUAUCGCGCUCUUGGAUGGGCUCAUGUCCUAUCAGCUUGNGGUGAGGUAACGGCUCACCAAGGCUUCGACGGGUAGCUGGUCUGAGAGAACGAUCAGCCACACUGGCACUGCGACACGGGCCAGACUCCUACGGGAGGCAGCAGUAAGGAAUAUUGCGCAAUGGGCG
rnacentral:rRNA from 1 species